UGUUUUCUGCAGGAGACAUUGCUUGUUCAUAAAGAUCUUAUAAAGGCUCCAGGUCUUGAUGACUUACUGCUAUCACUCAAAACAGAAGGAGUUGCUAUUUUUGGGGGGCCUGUUGCACAUGAAGUAUUGUGCAUUCCAGAAGCAAAUUCAUUCCAUCAUAAGGCUGCAACACCAUCUAGUGGAGGGUGUUCUGGACAAAGAAAGCUUGUACCUUAAAACAGGAGGAUACAAGAAGCUGGAGUGGUUGUCUGAAGGCUUUUGAACUGCUUGAAGCAUUAGUGUAGCUUUGGUGCUUUUGUGACUGAUCAGCUCUGGAGCAGCUAGAGUGAUAUAGUUGUGGGCUUUUGAACAAUAGUUGGAGUGAUAUGAAACAUUAGUGAUUUAGUUGUGAAUGAUAUUAUAAUUGUGAUGCUUUUGUGAAUAUAUAAUUGUGGUGCUUUUGUGUUUAUGUG